AUUGAACGCUGGCGGCAGGCCUAACACAUGCAAGUCGAGCGAGCGGCGGACGGGUGAGUAAUGUCUGGGAAACUGCCUGAUGGAGGGGGAUAACUACUGGAAACGGUAGCUAAUACCGCAUACCAUCAGAUGUGCCCAGAUGGGAUUAGCUAGUAGGUGGGGUAACGGCUCACCUAGGCGACGAUCCCUAGCUGGUCUGAGAGGAUGACCAGCCACACUGUACAUGAUACACGGUCCAAACUCCUACGGGAGGCCGCAGUGGGGAUUAUUGCACAAUGGGCGCAAGCCUGAUGCAGCCAUGCCGGGUGUGUGAAGAAGGCCUUCGGGUUGUAAAGUACUUUCAGCGGGGAGGCGGUACCCGAAGAAGAAGCCCCGGCUAACUCCGGGCCAGCAGCCGCGGUAAUAC
rnacentral:rRNA from 1 species